UUACGGCCAUAUCACAUUGAAACACCAGUCCCUUUACGAUCAUCGAAGUUAAGCAAUGUCGAGCCUGGACACUACCUGGAUGGGUGACCGCUUGGGAAUACCAGCUGCUA